UACGUAGGGGGCAAGCGUUGUCCGGAAUCAUUGGGCGUAAAGAGCGUGUAGGCGGCUCGGUAAGUCCGCUGUAAAAGUCCAGGGCUCAACCCUGGAAAGCCGGUGGAAACUGUCGAGCUAGAGUCCGGAAGAGGCGAGUGGAAUUCCUGGUGUAGCGGUGAAAUGCGCAGAUAUCAGGAGGAACACCAAUGGCGAAGGCAGCUCGCUGGGACGGUACUGACGCUGAGACGCGAAAGCAUGGGGAGCGAACAGG
rnacentral:rRNA from 1 species